GGAAGGGGAAAAAAUGACAUUAUAUAUAUAACAUAUUUAAAUAGAAAAUAAACAAAUCCUAUUUUUGAAAAAUCCUAUUUUGAGUGGAUUUAAAAUGAAUUAGAAUUAAGAAAUAGGAUUUUAGGGAUAAGGAAUAAAUUAAACAAACAAACAAACCAUGGAUAAAUCCAAGCGACCUUUUCUUAAAUUCAAGCGAUCUUUUCGUAGGCGUUUGCCCCCGAUUCAAUCGGGGGAUCGAAUUGAUUAUAGAAACAUGAGUUUAAUUAGUCGAUUUAUUAGUGAACAAGGAAAAAUAUUAUCAAGACGUGUGAAUAGAUUGACCUUGAAACAACAACGAUUAAUUACUCUUGCUAUAAAACAAGCUCGUAUUUUAUCUUUGUUACCUUUUCUCAAUAAUGAGAAACAAUUUGAAAGAACCGAGUCGACCGCUAGAACUACUGGUUUUAAAGCCCGAAAUAAAUAGGCUUACUUUUUCUUCACUUGAAUCAUAAUUACAAGAAUCUAGAUUUGAGUGAAUCUAGAUUUGAGUAUCGUGUCCUAAGAAAAAAAUGAAUCGGAAAAAAAGAAAUCUGUUUUUAUUGAAUUGAACGUGUUCAUUCAUUUUGACUACUUUAGUAUAUUUUCUCAUACUAAUUUCUACUCUACCUUCCCGGAGUUCAUUCUCCGGGUAACUCCAUUUAAAUUAUUCUGGUGGAUUCUUUCCAAUCUACUUCCUUUAUGAUUUCGUUCGAAAUCAUAUAAAGACAAUUCCUAUUUGAUAUAGCUAUUUGUGCAAGUAUUUUACGGUUAAGAAGCAACUGUCUCUUGUACAGAUCGUGUAUUAAUCUACUAUAACUAUAGGAUACUCCCCUUUCGCGAAUUACUGCGUUUAUCCUAGUGAUCCACAAACGACGAAAAUCUCUCUUUUUCCUAUCCCUAUCCCGAUGAGCCGAAACUAAAGCUCUUAUUUUCUGUUGAGUAAUAGUUCUAGUAAGCCUUGAAUGAGCCCCUCGAAAGCUUGAUGCAAAUAAACGAAUUUUUGUUCUACGUCUCCGAGCUAUAUAUCCCCGUUUAAUUCUGGUCAUUGAAUAAAUGAAACUUUGACGAAUAACUAAUUGAUUGCCUUUCUUUCAGUUAUUCUUUUCCCCCUUCCUAGUCUAUUAAUAACAAAACGGAUUUUUCCAAUGUAUAAAAUCAAAAUUCCAAUGGCUUUGGCUACUCUAACCUUCCCGACCACGAUUUUUUUUAGGUAUUUCACUGCGAAAUAAGACAGAACUAAGAAAUUGUAUUUUCCUAGGUAUCAAAAAUAUAGUAAAUAAAAGAAAUAAAAAAAGAAAUAGUGGGUUCCUUCGUUUCUAUGGUUACUUCUUAAACGGUGAGGUCUUCUCUAUACACCGGAGCCUUUACUUUAUACUUUAAUUUUUAAUAUUUAAUCAACUAAUUGAUGUUAUUGGGAACUUGUAUAGUUCACACGCUUUGGCUCUACCCAUGAAUUGUCCAGUAAUAGGUCUUUCACAAUCAGAUCUACCUAUACAGUAACGGUAUUUAAUUAUGAAAGUUUGCUGGGUAGCUGACCCUCUUAGUCCGUUCUUGCCAGAUUGGGAGCCUACCUAAUCUUUAUGUUUUAUGCUUUUUAAAUAAGAUUUCCUCCGCUUAAUGGAUAACCAUUUGUUACCAAUGGAGAAUUUCUUAUCAUCUUAAAUUCAGGUGAUUGGAUUUACACCAACGGAAACCAUAAACUUCAUACACAAUAGAGGGAUAUGGUAGAGUUUUUUUUUUAUAAUGGAUGGAGUUCCUUUUUCCAUCCUAUCCCAUUCACCGGUACUGAUCAUUGAUACUGUAAAAGUAGUUUUCUUGCUUUUUGUGCCAGCUCAUGAUCUAAACGAGUCGCACAUACACCCUAGUACAUGUUCCUCGACGCUGAGGGCACCCCCGAAGAGCGGGGGAUUUCGUGACAUUUCUGAUUGGCUGUCUUGUAUUUCUAAUAAGUUGUUUAAUAGUUGGCAUGUUGAAUCGUAUACAUAAUAUGAUGGGUUGGUUUAGAUUGAUCCUAACCGAAUGAUGGUGAAUUACUUCUAUUUAAUAGAAUAUUCAAUUCGAAGAUAAAAUCUCAAAUCAUAGAUCUGCGUGAAAUCCAUGUUCUUUUCCUUGAACCGCUACAAAAUCAACAAUUCCAUAAGCUUGGGCUUCUGUUGCUGACAUAAAAAUAUCUCUUUCCAUAUCUUCGUGUAUAACCCACACGGGUUGGCCCGUUUUUUCUGCAUAAACCCUUGUGAGGGUUUCACGCAGUUUCGCCAUUUCUAUCGCUUCCAGGACAAAUUCGCCUACUUGUGCCAUAUAAAAACCACUAUAAGGUUCAUGUAUCAUUACCCUGAUGAUAUAACAAAAUAAAAGCUUCCCCUAUCUCGCAUGAUAAAGCAAAGAAAAAAGAAAGAUAAAGAAUAGAAAAAAGAUAGAAUUGAACAACCGUACAGGCAUCUUUUGUGCAUACGGCUCUACAAGAAAAUUGACCCCCAUUGAAGAAAGAGAAAAAUAGAAUCUAUCAGACUCAGAUGGGUAAAUAAUCAAAUUGCCAUCCUUCCUUUCGGAGGAAUUCAAAAAUACUAUGAUGGCUCCGUUGCUUUAUAUGUUUAUUUUUUCUUUUUUUUGUCUGUGAUUCAGCAAUCCCAAAGUUUCUUUUUAAUCCGAUCAAAUAAGGAAAAAUUAUUUUUUUUUCGUACUCUUUCAUAACAUAAAUAUUGUUAAGAACUCUCCGGCAUGAAAACAAAAAGUUUGUGACGCUGAACUGAACUCCCGAUAUAUAAUAGAAAAUCGGAAAUACCCCUUAUCUCAUACUACUCUCUCGAUACAGAAUCUAAUGUUUUGAAAAAAAAAAACAAUACAAAAAUUUCUCAUAUCGAAUUCGAAGUGCCAUGCUAUUAUUACUUAGUAUUCAUAUGGCGAAGGCAUAGUCUUCUUUUUUCUCUCAAAUAAAAACCUCAUUGGCGCCAAGCGUGAGGGAAUGCUAUACGUUUGGUAAGUUGUCCUCCGGCCAGGAUAAAAGAUCCCAUUGAAGCAGCUAAUCCUAGGCAUAUUGUAUGGAUAUCUGGUCGCACAAAUUGCAUAGUAUCAUAAAUGGCGAUCCCAGGUAUUACCCAGCCCCCAGGAGAGUUUACAAACAAAUACAGGUCUUUGUUCUCAUCCUCCAUACUGAGAUACAACAUAAGACCAAUAAGUUGAUUCGAAAGCUCGGUACCAAUCCCUUGGCCUAAAAAAAGUAAUCUUUCUCGAUAAAGUCGGUUGAUUAGGGUAAAAUUGUAUCCCUUAGGAACCGUACAUGCGCCUUUUGAUGCAUACGGUUCAAAAAAAUUGUGAAUCAAUGUAGAGAUUCCAGUCCUCUUUCUUUUUUUCUACAAGGGUUCUUUCUUACUUCUAACGAAAGGGCUUUUCUUCGAUUUUUCAAUAAAGACGAGUUUUUACUCCUUUUUGAUAUUUUCUAUUAUAAAAUUCGAAGUUAUAAGAAAGGGUCAUUAAACUUAUCGAAUUAACUUCUCAUUGAUGUAUUCUUUCAUCGAGAUUUAAUCCAAACCGCGAUGGUAUUUUCUUGUUCCUGAAUGGGUCUGUUUCAUCUUUUUAGGUUUAUGCUCUACUCCGGGUAAAGAUCCGCCCGAUUUGGAUUUGUACAUAUAGGACAAAUGCUCCCAUUACCAUUUCUUUUUGUAUUUUUUUUUUUUUUUUUCAAUUCAUUUUAUACAAGUAUUUAUUAGAGUUGAGAUAACUUUGCUUGACAAUUAGGAUCUCUUUACAAAGAAAAAAUAUGAAUAGCAAUCAUAGAUAUCUUACAUAGAUAUCUUACCAAUCCAAUUGGGUUUUUUCUAAACGGAGCCUGGAUACUUCAUUUAUUUAGUCCAACCAAGCCAACCAUAAAUUAUUCUAAUUGAUAAUAGUAAUAUGAAUCCCCUCAAAAAUGGAUCUAAUUGCACUUCACGCUCCAAAUUUUUGAUGAUUCAAUUUAUCUUUCUUGGGCGAAACGGGGGAUAUCUCGAUCGGGGGAGAGAACGGGGAAAUACCAUAUGACCCAAUAUAUCUGACAAGUCGCACUAUAUGUCAACCCAAGAUGAAAUUGGAUCUCCAGGAUUUCGGAAUACAACUCUUGGAACACCAAUAGGCAUUAAAUGAAAGAACGAAUUAAAUACUAUAUUUCACUUUGAGGUGGAAACGUAACAAUUUUUUUUAUUGUCUUUAUAAUAUUCAUAUUGGUUUUUAUCGUAUUUCUUUUAUCCAUAGAUUCUCAAAAUUCAUAAAGAAAGACAGAAUGAAUAAACUCAAAUUAUUACGAAUAGGUCUUUCUAAUGAUAAAUAAGUAUGGACUCAUUCGCUCAUAGAAAAUGGGAUCAACUCCCCCAUUGCGUAUUGGUACUUAUCGAGUAUAGAAUAAAUCUGCUUCUCUUUGUUCCUACGAACAGAAUUGUUCCAUUAUUACCAACAGAAUAGAAACCCUUGUUCGGAAAUAAUUGACUCAACAAGAGUGGUCCAUAGGAUAGUCAUAUUAUAGUCUUUUCCAAUGCAAUAAAGUUACGUAGUGUUCAUUUAUCUUUGAUAUAAGGGGUAUUUCCAUGGGUUUGCCUUGGUAUCGUGUUCAUACCGUUGUAUUGAAUGAUCCCGGUCGGUUGCUUUCUGUUCAUAUAAUGCAUACAGCUCUGGUUGCUGGUUGGGCCGGUUCGAUGGCUCUGUAUGAAUUAGCGGUUUUUGAUCCUUCUGAUCCUGUUCUUGAUCCAAUGUGGAGACAGGGUAUGUUCGUUAUACCCUUCAUGACUCGUUUAGGAAUAACCAAUUCAUGGGGCGGUUGGAGUAUCACAGGGGGGACUGUAACGAAUCCAGGUAUUUGGAGUUACGAAGGUGUAGCGGGAGCACAUAUUGUGUUUUCUGGCUUAUGCUUUUUGGCAGCUAUCUGGCAUUGGGUGUAUUGGGAUCUAGAAAUAUUUUGUGAUGAACGUACAGGAAAACCCUCUUUGGAUUUGCCAAAGAUCUUUGGAAUUCAU
rnacentral:lncRNA from 1 species